CGGCAGGUUGUGUAAUCGGUAACACGGCGGUCUGUAAAACCGUUGCCUUCGGGCGUUGUAGGUUCAAGUCCUAUCCUGCCGA
rnacentral:tRNA from 1 species